UCCUCUCUUAUACGACAACGGAGCUCUCUGCAACUCCUUGUCGCGAUGAAGCCACUGCCGUCCUGAUACGCCAUCUAAAAGCAAGCCAUCACGUUCAAGUCCGUACCGGGUGGGAACCCACUGAUGCACGCAGCCAAGCUAGGCCAUGGAGACACCGUCAAGACUAUUCUAUAAGCUGGCGCGCCAUGGACGCCCUAUCUCUUUCCAAUCUCUCCGCCGGCGACUUCGCCAUGGACGCAGGCCACGAAGAAGCCUACGAAAUACCCCUCAAUACCGGGAUUCAAGCUGAAUUGGUACUGGAACGAUUGCGUGGAAAAAGAAUAAGAAUAGGUUGAGGGCAACAUAGUUGGUGACCGGUGAUGGCUGGCCGGAAGUUUGUGGCAGCGGCUGGUGCGCGGUAGCCGGCCGGACACUGGCAGUGGCUGGCGGCCUGCGACUGGUAGGAAGAUGGCGGCGGUGGCUGGCCGGAAACUGGCAACGGUGGCUGGCCGGAAACUGGCAACGGUGGUGGCGGCGACUGGCAAGAAUAUGGAUGCUGUGGCUGGCCGGCAGGUGCUGGCCCGGCGAUGGGCGGUUGGCCGGAAGGUGGAUUGCUGGAGGUUUUGUGUAACUGGAACAUGGUUUUGGUAAAAUUAGAGGGAGUGGCAUUUUGUGUAAUUUUGAUGUUUUUUAAUUACAUUAUUGUAAAAUUAGGUACUACUU